rnacentral:rRNA from 1 species
GAUGAACGCUAGCGGCAGGCUUAACACAUGCAAGUCGAGGGACGGUAGCAAUACUGGACCGGCAAACGGGUGCGGAACACGUACGCAACUUACCCCAAACAGGUGAAUAGCCUUCGGGAAACGAAGAUUAAUACACUGUAAGAUAUAGGAGUGGCAUCAUUUUUAUAUAAUAGCUCAGGCGGUUUGGGAUGGGCGUGCGCCUGAUUAGGUAGUUGGUGGGGUAACGGCUCACCAAGCCAACGAUCAGUAACUGGUGUGAGAGCACGACCAGUCACACGGGCACUGAGACACGGGCCCGACUCCUACGGGAGCAGCAGUGAGGAAUAUUGGGCAAUGGACGCAAGUCUGACCCAGCCAUGCCGCGUGAAGGAUGAAGGCGUUCUGCGUUGUAAACUUCUUUUAUCUGGGAAGAACCUACGAUUUCUAUUGUAGCUGACGGUACCAGAGGAAUAAGCACCGGCUAACUCCGUGCCAGCAGCCG